AACGAACGCUGGCGGCAUGCCUAACACAUGCAAGUCGAACGAGACCUUCGGGUCUAGUGGCGCACGGGUGCGUAACGCGUGGGAAUCUGCCCUUGGGUUCGGAAUAACAGUUGGAAACGACUGCUAAUACCGGAUGAUGACGUAAGUCCAAAGAUUUAUCGCCCAGGGAUGAGCCCGCGUAGGAUUAGCUAGUUGGUGGGGUAAAGGCCUACCAAGGCGACGAUCCUUAGCUGGUCUGAGAGGAUGAUCAGCCACACUGGGACUGAGACACGGCCCAGACUCCUACGGGAGGCAGCAGUGGGGAAUAUUGGACAAUGGGCGAAAGCCUGAUCCAGCAAUGCAGCGUGAGUGAUGAAGGCCUUAGGGUUGUAAAACUCUUUUACCCGGGAUGAUAAUGACAGUACCGGGAGAAUAAGCCCCGGCUAACUCCGUG
rnacentral:rRNA from 1 species